rnacentral:rRNA from 1 species
GAUGAACGCUGGCGGCGUGCCUAAUACAUGCAAGUCGAGCGAACAGAUGAGGAGCUUGCUCCUCUGACGUUAGCGGCGGACGGGUGAGUAACACGUGGAUAACCUACCUAUAAGACUGGGAUAACUUCGGGAAACCGGAGCUAAUACCGGAGAAUAUAUUGAACCGCAUGGUUCAAUAGUGAAAGACGGUUUUGCUGUCACUUAUAGAUGGAUCCGCGCCGCAUUAGCUAGUUGGUAAGGUAACGGCUUACCAAGGCAACGAUGCGUAGCCGACCUGAGAGGGUGAUCGGCCACACUGGAACUGAGACACGGUCCAGACUCCUACGGGAGGCAGCAGUAGGGAAUCUUCCACAAUGGGCGAAAGCCUGACGGAGCCACGCCGCGUGAGUGAUGAAGGUCUUCGGAUCGUAAAACUCUGUUAUUAGGGAAGAACAAAUGUGUAAGUAUCUAUGCACGUCUUGACGGUACCUAAACAGAAAGCAACGGCUAACUACGUG